GGAAUAUUGCGCAAUGGGCGAAAGCCUGACCCAGCAACGCCGCGUGGGCGAUGAAGGCCUUCGGGUUGUAAAGCCCUUUUGCAAGGGAAGAUGAUGACGGUACCUUGCGAAUAAGCCACGGCUAACUACGUUCCAGCAGCCGCGGUAAUACGUAGGUGGCAAGCGUUGUCCGGAUUUACUGGGCGUAAAGGGCGUGCAGGCGGUCUUUUAAGUUUGGGGUGAAAGCUCCCGGCUCAACUGGGAGAGGUCCUCAGAUACUGGAAGACUUGAGGGAGGCAGAGGAAAGUGGAAUUCCCGGUGUAGUGGUGAUAUGCGUAGAUAACGGGAGGAACACCAGUGGCGAAGGCGGCUUUCUGGGCCUUUCCUGACGCUGAGACGCGAAAGCGUGGGGAGCG
rnacentral:rRNA from 1 species